AGCCUUUAGCAAAAAGUAUUAAAGGUCACGCCUGCCCAGUGAUAAUUUUAAACGGCCGCGGGAUCCUCCACCGUGCAAAGGUAGCAUAAUCACUUGUCCCCUAAAUAGUGACUAGUAUGAAUGGCCAAAUGAAGAUUUAACUGUCUCUUGUAUUUGAUCCUUGAAAUUAAUCUACCAGUACAAAAGCUGGAAUAAAAACAUAAGACGAAAAGACCCUAUGGAACUUUAAGUAUAUUUUAAUUAAUAUAAAAUUAAAAACUUUUAGUUGGGGCAACUCUGGAAAUAAAAAAAACUUCCAAAAAACCUAUGAUCAACAUAUCUUUUGAAACAUGACCCAGUCUUACUGAAUAAAGAACCAAGCUACCCUAGGGAUAACAGCGCCAUCCCCUCCAAGAGCCCAAAUCGACGAGUGGGGUUUACGACCUCGAUGUUGGAUCAGGACACCCAAACAGUGCAACAGCUGUUAAAGGUUUGUUUGUUCAACAAUUAAAGUCCU
rnacentral:rRNA from 1 species